UGAGGGCAUGUGACUCAGGAAGGAAAAGUAAGUCUUCACCUCUGUUAGAGUAAAUAGAGUGAGCACGAGUUGUCAGGGCAGUAGAGUCUCAAUCUAGGGUAUGUCUGUCGCAUUUCUUAGGUUGUUUCGUCAAAAUGGCGAGUGUGACAUAACUUGGGGUAAUACAUCAAACGGUUAGGGCCAGAAGUGUGGUUUAACUUUCUCGAGGACGAGCAAAGUUUUAAGUGUGGGGUGUUGAUAAUAGAUGAAUUUAACUAUAUUCAGGCCCUAAAUAACUACCUUCUUGAAUAGUUUUGAUAGUAAAAGUGAUAACAAAAUGCUCUUAUCAGUGCUUUUCAUGAUUUGUAGGUUAUAUAUGAACAUGGAAGGCUAGGAGUACUUUUGGAGUCCAAAAAUGAAGAAAAUGAGGCCAACAGUGAAAUUUCCCAAGUGAACCACGCAAAACAGGCUGAAGAAUCAGAGAACAGGUUCUACCGCGGUUCCACCGCAACCGCGACAGAACGGCGGUGAAGAAUGCUCGCGAACAAACUGAGAUUCAGAGAGUUCAAUUGGC
rnacentral:lncRNA from 1 species